GUGGAGAAAUCUAUAUGCUAUUCAUGCUCCUGCUAUGUCUUCUAAAAAAUUAAAAAAUCCAUGUUUCUUUUAGGUAAAUAUUUAUAGCUCAUGUCAAGAGGAGUGAACAAGGCAGCUUGAAAGAUCCCUUGUACUGCUUUCAGAACUCAAGGCAGUUUUAAAAGAGCUCCUGGAAGGCAAGGCCUGGAUCCUAUUUAAAUUGAUGUCUCCAUGGACAGCAUCAAGAAGAUAUUCAGUAAAAUCUGUUGAGUUGAAUUGUCUACAGUAAAGAACAGAAAUUAACAAGGAAUUGCUCCAUUUAGGUUUUCAUCCUUUCCUUUCAAGGCAAGUAUUUUGCUUAAGUAAGAUUUUUGCCCUCAUUAAAGCUUUCAUGCACAAAAUACAUGUGAUCUGAACACUUAGCAUGGUGAAUUCUAUUUUGUUUAAAAUUUUCUUCUAUCCUUAGGCUUCCUUCUCUUCCUUUGUCUUUGUGGUACAUAUCAACUUCCCACUCUGCUG
rnacentral:lncRNA from 1 species